rnacentral:tRNA from 1 species
AAAGUUUUAGUAUAAAAAGUAUUUCUUAUUGUCAAUAAGAGGGUUUAAAUUUUA